rnacentral:rRNA from 1 species
GACGAACGCUGGCGGCGUGCCUAAUACAUGCAAGUCGAACGCAGUGGGGACGGGUGAGUAACACGUGGGUAACCUCCCAUCAGAGGUGAUAACACUUGGAAACAGGUGCUAAACCGAUACUUGUGUAUGGAUCCGGGGUGCAUUAGCUAGUUGGUGAGGUAACGGCUCACAAAGGCCACGAUGCAUAGCCGACCUGAGAGGGUGAUCGGCAAAACGGGGACUGAGACACGGCCCAGACUCCUACGGGAGGCAGCAGUAGGGAAUCUUCGGAAAUGGACGAAAGUCGGACCGAGAAACGCCGCGGGAGUGAAGAAGGUUUUCGGAUCGUAAAACUCUGUUGUUAGAGAAGCGGUAUCUAACCAGAAAGCCACGGCUAACUACGUGCCAGCAGCCGCGGUAAUUC